CAAUAGCGUAUAUUAAAGUUGUUGCGGUUAAAAAGCUCGUAGUUGGAUUUCUGUUGGGAACGACCGGUCCGCCCAUUGGGUGUGUAUCUGGCUUGUUCUCGGCAUCUUCUUGGUGAACGUUGCUGCACUUGACUGUGUGGAGCGCUACCCAGGACUUUUACUUUGAGGAAAUUAGAGUGUUUCAAGCAGGCAUAUGCCUUGAAUACAUUAGCAUGGAAUAAUAAGAUAGGACCUCGGUUCUAUUUUGUUGGUUUCUAGAGCUGAGGUAAUGAUUAAUAGGGAUAGUUGGGGGCAUUCGUAUUUAACUGUCUGAGGUGAAAUUCUCGGAUUUGUUAAAGACGGACUACUGCGAAAGCAUUUGCCAAGGAUGUUUUCAUUGA
rnacentral:rRNA from 1 species